UACAGUACAGCCUGUGACAUCCUCUUAGUUAUGUCCACCCUCUUGCAUGGUCAACAUCCAAUGGUGAACAUUUAUUGGGGUAUUCAAUCUUGAGAUGUUGGCCAUUUAUUAGGGUCAUAAAACAUAGGUAGAUGUGUUAUCUAAUUAUGUUACCUGUUAAAAUCAAUCAGGGUUGAAGUUUUCAGCUGGUAUGUUUCAUUAAAAUUUACCUGUACAGGUAACUAAGGUUUCUUUUAAAAUUGACAUUUCACCUUUUAUUGAAAUUGUAGAAUAAAAUAUAGUUUUAGUCUGUUUAAUUUAUUAUUUGUUUUUUUGUUUUAAUGUUAUCUAAAUUUUUUUCUUUUUGUGUUUUUUUCAUUUUUGUAUGUUUUUUUC
rnacentral:lncRNA from 1 species